rnacentral:rRNA from 1 species
UACGAAGGGGGCUAGCGUUGCUCGGAACCACUGGGCGUAAAGGGUGCGUAGGCGGGUCUUUAAGUCAGGGGGGAAAUCCUGGAGCUCAACUCCAGAACUGCCUUUGAUACUGAGGAUCUUGAGUUCGGGAGAGGUGAGUGGAACUGCGAGUGUAGAGGUGAAAUUCGUAGAUAUUAGGAAGAACACCAGUGGCGAAGGCGGCUCACUGGCCCGGUACUGACGCUGAGGCGCGAAAGCGUGGGGAGCAAACAGG